rnacentral:rRNA from 1 species
AUUGAACGCUGGCGGCAGGCCUAACACAUGCAAGUCGAGCGGCAGCGGAAGGAAGCUUGCUUCCUUGCCGGCGAGCGGCGGACGGGUGAGUAAGGUAUGGGGAUCUGGCCGAAGGCGGGGGAUAACCACUGGAAACGGUGGCUAAUACCGCAUAAUCUCUAAGGAGCAAAGUGGGGGACCGUUCGGGCCUCACACCUUCGGAUGAACCCAUAUGAGAUUAGCUAGUAGGUGGGGUAAUGGCUCACCUAGGCGACGAUCUCUAGCUGGUCUGAGAGGAUGAUCAGCCACACUGGGACUGAGACACGGCCCAGACUCCUACGGGAGGCAGCAGUGGGGAAUAUUGCACAAUGGGCGCAAGCCUGAUGCAGCCAUGCCGCGUGUAUGAAGAAGGCCUUCGGGUUGUAAGGUACUUUCAGUCGUGAGGAAGGUGUUAAGGUUAAUAACCUUAGCAAUUGACGUUAGCGACAGAAGAAGCACCGGCUAACUCCGUGCCAGCAGCCGCGGUAA